rnacentral:rRNA from 1 species
CCUACGGGGGGCAGCAGUGGGGAAUAUUGCGCAAUGGGCGAAAGCCUGACGCAGCGACGCCGCGUGAGGGAUGAAGGUCUUCGGAUCGUAAACCUCUGUCAGCAGGGAAGAACGGUCACUGUGCUAAUCAGCAGUGAAUUGACGGUACCUGAGUAAGAAGCACCGGCUAAAUACGUGCCAGCAGCCGCGGUAAUACGUAUGGUGCAAGCGUUAUCCGGAUUUAUUGGGCGUAAAGGGAGCGCAGGCGGCACGGCAAGCCUGAUGUGAAAGCCCGCGGCCUAACCGCGGGACUGCAUUGGGAACUGCCGGGCUGGAGUGCCGGAGAGGUAGGCGGAAUUCCAAGUGUAGCGGUGAAAUGCGUAGAUAUUAGGAAGAACACCAGUGGCGAAGGCGGCCUACUGGACGGUGACUGACGCUGAGGCUCGAAAGCGUGGGGAGCAAACAGGAUUAGAUACCCUUGUAGUC